GUCCGUAGCUGGCCACGCAAGUCCGUCGGGAAAUCCAUCGGCUCAACCGAUGGGCGUCCGGCGGAAACUGCGUGGCUUGGGACCGGAAGGCUCGAGGGGUACGUCCGGGGUAGGAGUGAAAUCCCGUAAUCCUGGACGGACCACCGAUGGCGAAAGCACCUCGAGAAGACGGAUCCGACAGUGAGGGACGAAAGCUGGGGUCUCGAACCGGAUUAGAUACCCGGGUAGUCCCAGCCGUAAACGAUGCCAGUUAGGUGUGGCACAGGCUACGAGCCUGUGCUGUGCCGUAGGGAAGCCGUGAAACUGGCCGCCUGGGAAGUACGUCCGCAAGGAUGAAACUUAAAGGAAUUGGCGGGGGAGCACUACAACCGGAGGAGCCUGCGGUUUAAUUGGACUCAACGCCGGACAUUUCACCAGCUCCGACUACAGUGAUGACGGUCAGGUUGAUGACCUCGCCACGACGCUGUAGAGAGGAGGUGCAUGGCCGCCGUCAGCUCGUACCGUGAGGCGUCCUGUUAAGUCAGGCAACGAGCGAGACCCGCACACUUAAUUGCCAGCAUCAGGUUUCCUGGAUGGGUACAUUAAGUGGACUGCCGCUGCUAAAGCGGAGGAAGGAACGGGCAACGGUAGGUCAGUAUGCCCCGAAUGAGCUGGGCUACACGCGGGCUACAAUGGCCAAGACAAUGGGUUCCAACCUCGAAAGAGGACGGUAAUCUCCGAAACUUGGUCGUAGUUCGGAUUGUGGGCUGAAACUCGCCCACAUGAAGCUGGAUUC
rnacentral:rRNA from 1 species